rnacentral:rRNA from 1 species
GUGCAGCAGGCGAGAAACCUCCGCAAUGCGGGAAACCGCGACGGGGGACCCCGAGUGCCGUGGCAACGCCACGGCUUUUCCGGAGUGUAAAAAGCUCCGGGAAUAAGGGCUGGGCAAGGCCGGUGGCAGCCGCCGCGGUAAUACCGGCGGCCCGAGUGGUGGCCGCUAUUAUUGGGCCUAAAGCGUCCGUAGCCGGGCCCGUAAGUCCCUGGCGAAAUCCCACGGCUCAACCGUGGGGCUUGCUGGGAUACUGCGGGUCUUGGGACCGGGAGAGGCGGGGGGUACCCCUGGGGUAGGGGUGAAAUCCUAUAAUCCCGGGGGGACCGCCAGUGGCGAAGGCGCCCCGCUGGAACGGGUCCGACGGUGAGGGACGAAGGCCAGGGGAGCAAACCGGAUUAGAUACCCCCGUAGU